CUGAUGAGCAUGCCGCGUGAGUGAGAGGUCUUCGGAUCGUAAAGCUCUGUUGUUAGAGAAGAACACGUGCUAGGUAACUACUAGCGCCUUGACGGUAUCUAACCAGAAAGUCACGGCUAACUACGUGCCAGCAGCCGCGGUAAUACGUAGGUGACAAGCGUUGUCCGGAUUUAUUGGGCGUAAAGGGAGCGCAGGCGGUCUGUUUAGUCUAAUGUGAAAGCCCACGGCUUAACCGUGGAACGGCAUUGGAAACUGACAGACUUGAAUGUAGAAGAGGAAAAUGGAAUUCCAAGUGUAGCGGUGGAAUGCGUAGAUAUUUGGAGGAACACCAGUGGCGAAGGCGAUUUUCUGGUCUAACAUUGACGCUGAGGCUCGAAAGCGUGGGGAGCGAACA
rnacentral:rRNA from 1 species